CCCUGUUAACAUCCACUUUGUGGUCGUUUAUUGUCCCCCAGGUCAACUGGGAAACUUCUUGGAUGAGUUGGAUGUGUUACUAUCAAGCUUUCCUGAGGAUGGUACUCCUCUGGUACUGCUUGGUGACUUCAACAUCCACCUAGAUAAACCCCAGGCUGCUGACUUCAACACUCUGCUCGCCUAAUUUGCGAGCAUCUACUACAGCGACUCACAAAUCAGGCAACCAACUGGACCUCAUCUACAUGCGCUGUUGCUCCAUCUCGCCUGUCCUCUUUGGUUUCAUCCUCACUUCCUUCACUCGCUCAGUUUUCAGCUCUGGACAGGAACAGUGCUACUGACACUCUUUGCUCCACUCUGACCUCUUGCUUGGACAACUUUUGCCCACUGUCAUCCAGACCAGCAUGCACCACCCCAUCUGCCCCCUGGCUGUCCGAUGUUCUCCGUGAACAUCGCUCUAAACUCAGGGCUGCAGAGAGGAAAUGGCAUAAAUCAAGAAACUCUACCGACCUCAGUGUGUAUCAGUCUCUCCUCUCUUCAUUCUCUGCAGAUGUCUUCACUGCUAAAACGUCAUCAACCAACUGGACCUCAUCUACAUGCGCUGUUGCUCCAUCUCGCCUGUCCUCUUUGGUUUCAUCCUCACUUCCUUCACUCGCUCAGUUUUCAGCUCUGGACAGGAACAGUGCUACUGACACUCUUUGCUCCACUCUGACCUCUUGCUUGGACAACUUUUGCCCACUGUCAUCCAGACCAGCAUGCACCACCCCAUCUGCCCCCUGGCUGUCCGAUGUUCUCCGUGAACAUCGCUCUAAACUCAGGGCUGCAGAGAGGAAAUGGCAUAAAUCAAGAAACUCUACCGACCUCAGUGUGUAUCAGUCUCUCCUCUCUUCAUUCUCUGCAGAUGUCUUCACUGCUAAAACGUCAUACUACCACAACAAAAUUAACAACUGUUCUGACUCUCGCACACUUUUCAAAACUUUCUCUUCUCUUCUUAGUCCGCCUCUACCUCCUCCUUCCAUGACUCUUACAGCUGACGACUUUGCAGUUUUCUUCACAAAUAAGACAAGAACCAUCAGUCACCAAUUUUCCACACUGCAGAUGGAUGAUAACUUCAUAAUGACGAAUACACACUCUCUCUCCUCCUUCUCUCCACUCUCAGUGAUGGACAUUUCCAAACUUAUCCUGUCCAGUC
rnacentral:lncRNA from 1 species